CCCUUAGAUGUUCUGGGCCGCAGGCGUGCUACACUGAGUGGAUCAGCGGGUCAGGUUGCGCGAAAGUGUUUCCUAAUCUUGAAAUCCGCUCGUGAUGGGGAUUGACGGUUGCAAUUUUCCGUCAUGAACGAGGAAUACCUUGUAAGCGCGGGUCAUCAUCCCGCGCUGAAUACGUCCCUGCCCUUUGUACACACCGCCCGUCGCUCCUACCGAUUGAGUGGUCCGGUGAGGCUUUGGGAUCUGAGCGGAAAGAGCGUUUCGCUGUUUCUGCUCGGAAAACUCAGUCGAACCUUAUCAUUUAGAGGAAGGAGAAGUCGUAACA
rnacentral:rRNA from 1 species